CACUUCUUUGGUUAGACUAACAUUUUAUCGCACAAUCCUUUAUUUUCGAACGUCGGCGAGCUGAGAUAAGUGAAGCACUCGAUCGUGGUGAUAUUUAUACGGAAUAUGCGAUAAGAAAGCUUAAGAAGUGGGAAAAACGAGCUUCUGCACAUUCAGUGACAUCCAUUGAUAGAGAAACCUAGACAUUUGAGGUUCAUACGGGUAUGAGUAUGAUUUCUCCAUACAAAGGCCAACACACACAGGUAGUAAGUUUGAUGGAAGGGACAUGUUCUUGCAAUAAGUGGCAGUCGUUUAAGAUUCCGUGUUCGCAUGUAAUUGCAGUUUGUAAUUACAUGCACUUGACAUACGUACCAUACAUUGAUGAAUGCUACUUGUUGUCGACAUUCAAACGUUGUUAUGACGGUCGCUUCCAUCCAAUCCAACACUCAGAUUAGAUGGAGCGGCGUUAUACCAUUGUCAGAACUGUCCGCAAAUAUGUUGAUCACCUACCGAAUGUUUUUUGAUCGGCUGAUCAACUCUCAGGUAGUAAAAUAUUAUACCAAUAUUGCGUAGGCAUGUUUUUUGUUGUUUCCUUGUGUUCGUUUUUUUUUAACAGAUUAAUUGGACACCAUACACGUCCCACAUUAUGGCAUUGCUUCCACAUCAAUGUCAUAACAGUCAAGCGAUGUGGACAUAUGUGGGUCCUAUGAUUUGCUUUCAUCUCGUUGAGAAGCAUCAAGCAGAUCGUGUAUUGCGACAGUUCCAUAUGCUACAAAUGCCACCAGAGUUUUGCUCCACAGAUCAGGGCCUACACCAAAUUGAUUUAAGAGGCAAGCACGAUCAAGAUUGGAGUAGGAUUCAUGCAGAGCAUAUAGCAAUGUGGCAUUCACGAAAUAAUUUUUGUGCCGAAGCAGAAGCAACACAGAAGCCGACAGUAUCAGAUAACUACUUUUCCUAGUACACGUCGAUUACCCGACGCUUCAUGACACCUGAUGGCGCUUACUGUUAUCGCAUGGUAAUAGUUUUAAUAUGAUUUAUAAAUUUAAUACAAGCAUGAACAUUUUUUAAUUAUAUUAUUUACAAUCGUUCAGAAUAAUCUUGUUGAAGACGUACGUCGAGUCUCCAUGAAAAACAAUUUUGAAAUUUUUAGUCCAAUGGUGACGAAGUCAUGGGAGAUAUAGACAGCCUUGUUCAGCGGACUCGACGUUUAAAUGUUGCCGACACAGAUCAUAGACGCAUUCGACGGCGGACGGACGACGACAAGGCGAUGAUGUCGUAGAGGGAGAUGGGGAAGCUUCUUAAGUUGUAUAAUUUAAGUGUUUUUAAAUUUUGCUAGAACUUAUUCAAGUUGUAUAAAUAAAAAGUUGAACUUUUUUAAAUUAAUUAUAAAUUAGAAGUUGCUAAUAUAUGAUUUAGAUGUAGGAGUAUUCUUAAUAAUAUCAAUAUAUAAUAUAUAUUUUUUAAAAGUAGAGAACCAAGUAUUAAAAAAAACGUUCAAAAUUCUUAUAAGAUAUCACUAAUGAUGUGUUUACCUUUGGUUUAUUUUUUUAAUUUGUUCAUAAUAAACAUAAACUACAAAAAAUUUGGCCAUUUAAACAAAAACUAAAAUUUUCACAUAGAAGAUUUAAACAAAAACAUAAAUUUCCAACUAUCCUAAUUUUGAAAAUACUUUUUAAAAACACAUUAUUUUAAAAACAAAUCCGUCUUUCAUAAAUGUUUUUACCCUAAAAAUAGUUAAUCUUUUAAAAUAUAAUAAUUUUAAAAACAAUUAUUUAGGAAGUCGUGUACCCCCGUACACGACUUCCGUCCACGUGGGUCAAACUCGUGCAUACGUGGAGCGAAGUGGUCAAAUGUGCUGACAUGUGCAUUUAGGAAGUCGUGUACGGGGUACACGACUUCGUUCAAUUUCAUUUGGAAGUCGUGUACCUUCCUUCAAUUUAAAAAAAACACAUAUUUUUGAAAAUAGUUUGAGAAACAACCUUAUUCUUGUAAUUUCUUUCCCAACAACCCUAUUUUUCAAAAUAUUUUCACUAAACACAUUAUUUUUAAAAAAAAUCCCAAUAUUUUAAUAAAAUCGAAACUUUAUUAUUUUUAUGGAGAUCGAUAUAAUAUGAAAAAGGUUCAUUCCACCAUUUUAUUGCAAGUACUUUUUAGUUCAUUUAUAGCUGUCUUUUUCAACCCCUCUUCGAAUUCUCAUCCACAUCCCUUCAAAUUCCAUUUUCAUCAAAUUAAUCCUAUCGUUGUUUCUUUCUCUUUCACAUUUAUACAUUCACAUCACUCUCCAUCUUUAUCUCUUUUUUUGUUUUUAACAUUAGAAUCAUUCAUUGAAUCUCAACAACUAACAAUGUCUAUUUUUAAAUUGAUGUAUCUUAUAUAUUUAUUUAUUAAAUUCUAAUUUCUUUAUGAUUAUUGUUUUUUUUUUUUGUAAUUUUAUAAAAUCUAAUUAAUAUGCUAAUAUUUUCUUUAUAAAUUUGGAAAAUUAAAUUUCCACGUUUACAUAUUUUUCUAUUAUUUCAUGAUUAAAGAUGUGAUGUACAAAGAUACAAACAUAGAUGUUGUCAUCUAAAUAUUGAUAGAAUGACAAAAAUGUUGAAAAUAUUUUCCAUUUCUACUUGCAUAAUUUGACAAUUUUGUAGUAUUUUAUAAUAUCUUCAUUAAUAUUCUAAAAUGAUAUAUUUAAAGAAAUUACCAAUGUAAAAAGUAUGUCAAAAUUUAACCAAUGAUAGUAUAUUUACAAUUAUUUUGAAAUUGUGAUAUAUACUUAAUUAUUAUAUCUAAAAUUGUUAUAAAAAAAUAGAAAAAAAAUACGUAUCAAAAUUAUAAAAAAGUAAAUUGAAAAGAUAUUUUAAAAAAUUAUAAAACUUAAAUAAAAUAUAUCUCAAUUAUGCCUAUGGAACUUCUAUCCUACACAAAAUAUCAACUAUAUAUCAGAAUUUAACAAUAAAAUAAAUAAAAAUAGAUAUUUAUCAUAAUUAUCUUCUUAUUUUUAAGUAAUGGAGUAACUACAAAUUAAUUUUUGGAAUCAAACAUGAUAAUUAAAAAUCAAUAUAAAUAUAUGAAAAUUACUAUUAAAAUCUAAAGUUUGAUAUUUGAUGGUUUAAAAAUCAAUUUUAGAAUGAUGGACUUAGCUAGCUUCUAAACAAAUUAGAUGUUUAACAGAAUUAUUUAUUUUUUUUAUUUUGAAAUAAGUAUAAUAGAAACAUAUAAUUUUUAUUUGUUUGUUCUCUUGUAAAUACUUGAACUAAGAUAUCAUAUGGUGUGGGAAAAACAAAAGCCAAAAACAAAAAGAAUCAUAAUCUUCAAAUUUCAAUAUGUUUCUCAGCAACCUGCUUCUGCUUUUCAUCUGUCUCCUUGGUUCUGGUUUUCCUUCUCAUCACAAGCCAAAAUGUUUCUAAGUAAGCCAAAGUUCAAGGUUUCUAUUUGACAAAUGCCCAUUAAGCACUUCCUUUGAGUCUGAGUUUUCUCUUGCAUCCUCCACACCUGCACGGAGGAAUUAGUUGUUGUUGGUAGCUUGAUGAAAAUAAUGACAUAAACAUUGCCAUAAGAUUGUAGGAUUUGCGAGCGGGAAGAGCUAAUUAGGCCCGGGCCAACUUCCAAGAUAGCACUCAAUUCAAUUUCUUCAGUUUCAACGUCCAGAGCAUAGAUUGCAUAGUCAUUUGGUUUAUUUUUUACUUUUACCAGAAAAUAGAUGACUCCAUCCAUGUAAAUACCACCACCCUCAAUGAUAUAAGGUAGGGAAUGAAGUUGCCUCCAUUGGUUUCUACCAAAGUGAAAAACAUCUAUUAUGGUAAUAGGUUCUUGUUGUGUCUUAGAAUGAGCCAAUCUAAAUAAUUUGUAUUGCUUUGUUGAAGGAAUGUAACCUAAACCAAAGUGGUAAAUAUCAUAAAAUACUUCAGGAACAUGGUAAAACUCAUUAGUGGUAGGAUUAAAUAUGCCAUGACACAUUGUGUUGAGUUUGCUUUUGCAAACAAACAGUAGGCCAUUGCAGUAACAGAUCAGUGUGACCCUGAACCAGUCCCCGUCGUCGACGGAGGGUACUGAAAAGGCAGAUUUACUUCCUUCCAAUUCAAAAAAAUCCAAAUAUACAUCCAAACGUUUGGUAGGAUCAGAACGGAAACAAUACAUCCUAGCAUUGCAUAGCCAACUACUUCUAGGAUUGGGGACUACAUCAGAGACAGAGAGAAGGAAAUCAUUGUUGAGUUUACAAGAGUGAGCAUAAUCUAAAACCAUAGCAUUCCAAGUUUUACAAACAAGUCUGCAUACUCUCAAAUGGGAGAUAAUGAGUUUAGAGAAGAUUGAGAUAGCAAUAUCCGUUGGAAGCCCCUCUCCCCAAGUCAUUGUGUCCAUGGAAGAAGUUAGGAUUUUGUUUUGUGGGUGAUUGAAUAAUUAUGAUAUGAAUCCCUUUACGAUGUUAUUUAAAUACUGAGUUCGGGAGAAAUAUCCACUUUGUUAGUUGGAUUUAUUUAUUUUUCCCUAAAUCUUAUCCUUACUUUUGUUAUAUUUGAUUGAUAUUAAAUUCUUCAUUGUGGUUUAUUGUAGUUAUUGGGAGAUAUUUAGUUUACAAACUUCUUAAGAGAGUUUCUAAUUUAUUGUGAAAGAUGUUAAUGCGAAUGAUGGAUGUAGGUUCUUAUCAGUUACAACCUUUAUUUGUCGCUUUCAUGAAAUGAUAAAAUGAUUGCUCUCCUCAUUUAUUUUGUUGGUCAACUAUUUAAGAGAUUCUUGCACUUAUUGACUUAAACUUAAUAUUUUAGAGUAAUUACAUCUCUCCUUAUCCCUCUAAUUUUUUAUAUCAGGUCUUUGGUGCGAGGGCGAGAAGUCUUUUUAGGCUUUCGAGGAGGCGGUUUCGAAUACUUUACCUCAGAUCGUGUAACCUAGAAAGAGAUCCAUUCACUUACAGUGAUUUGAGAGUGAUCCAUGCGUUGAGAAACAAUGCGGUAAUAGGCUGCAAAUAAAUGCUCACAACUUCUUGGACAUACAUCAGGUGAUCCUAUUAAGUCUUGGUGGCAAAGAAUGCUUUCUUCAUAAAAUCUACCUUUAAUCGGGAGUCCUCCUAGUAUCCAUAAGUCCCAUAAGGAGAUGGACAUCUCACCAGCUGAGGUGUGAAGAGUGUUUGUUGAAGGACACCAUGCCUCGCAGAAAGCUCGAUCAAUGUCACUGUUGCGAUCAUAUGUAUAUAGGGAAGCCAUCACAACAUUAAAUAGGGAGGUUAGUACUCCGUAUUUCUAGCAACAACGAGCUCUAACCACUCCCAAUAAUGAGGAAGAUAGUAAAAUUCUCCAUGUACCUUGAGCACAUUUCCCCAACGAAUUUUUGGGUCGUUUAUAAUUCGACGACCCAACGUUGAUUCUGGAUCUUCAUUUGGAGGCUUGUUGUGAAUCGAAGACGACAGAAACCAAGAUUUUAAAGAUGAAUUUGGAUUUACAAACCGUUCCUUGGACCAUUUAGGCAAAAAGAUAAAAUUGUCCUCGGGUAUUUGGGAGUCCAUAAUAUUCUCAAAUGUCCCCUCUCUCACAGGAAGAAUGAUCACAUCCACUAAAGAUUGAUCUACGUCCUUCAGGAUAAUUAAACACCUUUUGGUCGAGUCAGAAUACUCAGUGAAGUGCACCAUGAUGAAAAGUAGAGUUCCUGCAAAAUAAGAAGAAGAAGAAGAAGAAGAAGAAAUAGAAGAAGAAAAAAACCAAAAAAAAAAAAA
rnacentral:lncRNA from 1 species